AUCGCGAGCGCGAGGCGAUUGCUUCUGUCUGUUGUUUAGGUAUGGCGCCCGCGACUAAGCUGAGAGGUGGCAGGAGCUGCGGCCGGGAUCUCACUGUGUGCUGACCGCGACCGGGGUCUAAACUAGACCGACUGGGCUAUGGGGGAGCCCGGCUCCUUGGUCACGGGAGACCGCUCCAGUGGCCCGAGCUGGUGCUUGCAGCGGGUGGGGAUGAACGCCGAGUGGCUGCUGCUGGAGGAUGGAAGCGAGGUGACUGUAGGGCGAGGAUUUGGUGUCACAUACCAACUGUUAUCAAAAAUCUGCCCUCUGAUGAUUUCCCGCAACCACUGUGUUUUGAAGCAGAAUGCUGAGGGCCAGUGGACAAUUAUGGACAACAAGAGUCUGAAUGGUGUUUGGCUGAACAGAGAACGUCUGGAACCUUUAAAGUUCUAUUCCAUCCACAAGGGAGACCAUAUCCAGCUUGGGGUGCCUCUGGAAAAUAAGGAGAAUGCAGAGUAUGAAUAUGAAGUUACUGAAGAAGACUGGGAGAGGCUGUAUCCCUGUCUUGCUCCAAAGAGUGACCAGACGAUGGAAAAAAAUAGGGGCUUGAGAACUAAAAGGAAAUUCAGUUUGGAUGAAUUAGAUGGUUCUGGAGCUGAAGGUCCCUCAAAUUCAAAAUCCAAAAUAAGUAAAGUAUCUUGUGAACCUGGUCAGCCAGUGAAGUCACAUGGGAAAGGUGAAGGGGCCAGGCAACCCUCUGAACAUCUGGAUGCUAAGUUGACUUCUCUUGAGCCAAGUGAGAAGACUGCAGGGGCUCAUAUAUACCCUGCCCUUCCCAAAGUCACAGAGCUUCACAACAAGAAGCAGAAAGCCUCAAACUCUUCAGCAUCUCAGAGCAGGUUAGAGCUGGUUAAGGUUACCAUGUCUAGGAUUCUGAAGCUGAAAAUACAGAUGCAGGAAAAACAGGUAGCAGUUCUGAAUGUGAAAAAGCAGACCCAAAAGGAGAACUCAAAAAAAAUUGUGAAAAUGGAGCAGGAACUGCAAGAUUUGCAGUGCCAGCUGUGUAUAGAGCAGGCCCAGCAGCAGGCAAGAGUGGAGCAACUAGAGAAGACUUUCCAGGAAGAAGAACAGCAUCUGCAGGGUUUGGAGAAGGAGCAAGGAGAAGAGGACCUGAAGCAACAGCUGGCUGAGGCUCUGCAGGAGCAUCAGUCUCUAAUGGAAGAGCUAAAUCGCAGCAAGAAGGACUUUGAAGCAAUCAUUCAAGCCAAGAACAAAGAAUUGGAGCAGACCAAGGAAGAAAAGGAAAAGGUGCAAGCACAGAAGGAAGAAGUUCUUAGCCAUGUGAAUGAUGUGCUAGAGAAUGAGCUCCAAUGUAUUAUUUGCUCAGAAUACUUCAUUGAGGCUGUCACCUUGAACUGUGCCCACAGUUUCUGCUCUUACUGUAUCAAGGAAUGGAUGAAGCGGAAGAUAGAAUGCCCCAUUUGUCGGAAGGACAUCAAGUCCAAAACCCACUCCCUGGUUCUGGAUAAUUGCAUUAAUAAGAUGGUAGAUAAUCUGAGCUCAGAAGUGAAAGACCGACGAAUUGUCCUCAUUAGGGAACGAAAAGACAUGAGAGAUUUAAGCACGUUCAUUUGCUGAUUGGAAGGAGCCUGAAGAGAAGAAGAUUCUGGAAAGCUAAGAUAGCAGACAGGGCAAGAUUCUUGGAAGCAAAGAACCUGUUCUGAAGACCAUGCUCCAGGGAACUUGAAGACUGCCAGGCAGUGGGGGCUUGGGACGGGUCUGGAUGAUUCUCUCUGGAUGUGACUCGGGCUGCUCUGGAGGUCGUCUUGAGAAGCCAUGUGGGCCAGAGCCUGCACGAGUGAGUCCUCUGUCAGGGGCACCGGUGCCAGCCAGCCCUGCUGCCAUUAUUGCCUGGACCACCACCGGUACUCAGGGCUCUGGCUGCUUAAGGGUACUUCACAGACUCUGCUUCACCACAUGUUGAGUGGGUUAUUCUAGUUCUGUUCAGCUUUUUAAAUUUAUUGUUCAUGUUGUUUAUUGUUUUGGUACCUCAGAAGCAUUGCUGUUGACAUUUGUUUUGGACAGACUGGGAGUACCCCUGUGGCUGCCCUGGAAAGCUAAGGCAGCCUCUGUUUUGAGAGGAUAGAAUACCUCUUCUUUGUGAAAACAAGAUGUCAUUUCCUGGAAAUAAAAUGUAAAACCCAUCA